rnacentral:rRNA from 1 species
GAUGAACGCUGGCGGCGUGCCUAAUACAUGCAAGUCGAGCGAACAGAUAAGGAGCUUGCUCCUUUGACGUUAGCGGCGGACGGGUGAGUAACACGUGGAUAACCUACCUAUAAGACUGGGAUAACUUCGGGAAACCGGAGCUAAUACCGGAUAACAUAUUGAACCGCAUGGUUCAAUAGUGAAAGGCGGCUUUGCUGUCACUUAUAGAUGGAUCCGCGCCGUAUUAGCUAGUUGGUAAGGUAACGGCUUACCAAGGCAACGAUACGUAGCCGACCUGAGAGGGUGAUCGGCCACACUGGAACUGAGACACGGUCCAGACUCCUACGGGAGGCAGCAGUAGGGAAUCUUCCGCAAUGGGCGAAAGCCUGGCGGAGCAACGCCGCGUGAGUGAUGAAGGUCUUCGGAUCGUAAAACUCUGUUAUCAGGGAAGAACAAAUGUGUAAGUAACUGUGCACAUCUUGACGGUACCUGAUCAGAAAGCCACGGCUAACUACGUG